rnacentral:rRNA from 1 species
UACAGAGGUCUCAAGCGUUGUUCGGAUUCAUUGGGCGUAAAGGGUGCGUAGGCGGCGCGGUAAGUCGGGUGUGAAAUCUCGGAGCUUAACUCCGAAACUGCAUUCGAUACUGCCGUGCUUGAGGACUGGAGAGGAGACUGGAAUUUACGGUGUAGCGGUGAAAUGCUUAGAUAUGACAUAGAACACCAAUUGCGAAGGCAGCUUGCUACACAACUAUUGACUCUGAUGCACGAAAGCGUGGGGAUCAAACAGG